UUUCUACCCAAAUUAAUGUAUUGCGUAUUGCCAAUAUUCAGGUAUUGAACUGAGACUUCUCCUCUUGUACCCUAUCAGGCCAAGGAUUUCCCACCCUGGCUAAUCAGGAAGUCCAGGUACAGGAACCAAUAAAGAAACACACUGCAACUCCAGUGACAUGAAUACCUGGUGCUAUAAACCACAGAGACCUGUACAAGGCCGUGAUCUCUCUCAGGACUGCUAUUAGAUGAACUCAGAAAGAAGAAAAAUUUUGUUUCCACCUGUAUUAAUUGGGUUAGACUACCAUAACAGAAUAUCACAGACUGGAUGCUUUAGAAUAGACGCACUUAUCAUCUCACAGUCCUGGAGGCUGGAAGUCCAUGGUCAGUA
rnacentral:lncRNA from 1 species